GAAAUACUUUAAACGGCCGCGGUAUCCUAACCGUGCAAAGGUAGCGUAAUCACUUGUCUUUUAAAUAAGGACUAGUAUGAACGGCCUAAUGAGGAUGGACCUGUCUCUUCUAAUCAACCAGUGAAACUGAUCUUCGAGUACAAAAGCUCGAAUAAACACAUAAGACGAGAAGACCCUGUGGAGCUUAAAACUAACACUAUUAAACCAAACAUAGCACUAAGUUUUAAGUUGGGGCGACUUCGGAACAAAACAAAACUUCCGAGCACAGAGCCAACCACUCUAACUUAGACCAACAAGUCAAAGGAAUAAAGCCGACCCAGUCCUACUGAACAACGAACCAAGUUACCCCAGGGAUAACAGCGCCAUCUUCUUCAAGAGUCCCUAUCGACAAGAAGGUUUACGACCUCGAUGUUGGAUCAGGACACCCAAAUGGUGCAGCAGCUAUUAAAGGUUCGUUUGUUCAACGAUCAAUAGUCCUACGUGAUCUGAGUUC
rnacentral:rRNA from 1 species